UACGAAUGGGGCGAGCGUUGUUCGGAUUUACUGGGCGUAAAGGGCGCGCAGGCGGCUCAUUUUGUCAGGCGUGAAAGCCCCGGGCUUAACCUGGGAGGUGCGUUUGAUACGGAUGGGCUAGAGUUCGGGAGAGGAGAGUGGAAUUCCCAGUGUAGAGGUGAAAUUCGUAGAUAUUGGGAAGAACACCGGUGGCGAAGGCGGCUCUCUGGACCGAGACUGACGCUGAGGCGCGAAAGCGUGGGGAGCAAACAGG
rnacentral:rRNA from 1 species